rnacentral:lncRNA from 1 species
GCUCCUUGUUCAGGAAGACUUGUCAUUUUGCAGAAAAACAUCUGAUGUAGUUUGGACCACAAGAGGCUCACAGAUCACAUUCCGAGAAACAAAAAAUUAUUGAUGUCCAUACCCUUUUGGUAGACUUUUACUUCCUUUGAGUUUCUCUUAAGAGUUACACUGGACAUCUGCACAUCCUGAAGAAAAAUCAAAGGUAAAAGAUCCUCUAUUCUGACUGAUAUUAGCAUUUGCUUUUGCACAUAAAAAAGAGAAAAAUAAAAUCAGACAAAGAAGAACCCUACUUUAUUAA